CUGCAGUAAAUGUAACCUGCUUAUCAUACAUGUGUAACAGUGUUGAAACGAGGAAACUAAUGGAACUGGUGAAUUGUUAUCAAUUCAAAAGCUGUACAUGGAAUGAUACAUGCAGGAAUUUGUGCCACACAUUUCAACAAUUUCCUUAAUGGAUUGAAUGUACUUUAUGUGAAUUCAUCAGCCAUACUUAAAAAGAAAAAGGAGAAUGAAACUGGAAAGAAAAUAUUUGCAGUUGCAAAAGAAUGCUGUAAAUAAACUAAACGAAGAAACAGUUUUAAACAUGGUUAAUUUAAUGAAUAAUUGGAAGGUUGAAGCUAUUUUUGUUGCAGAAUGGCAAAUGUUUGGUACUGGUUGAAACUAUGAAAGUGAUACAGGUCCCAUGGUAAUCAUUUAACAGCAGGUUUUUAACAGCAGUUAUGCAGAAAAAUGAAGGAUGGCUGUCAAUGGUAAAUGCAGCAUCAGAAUAUUCCCUAGGAAAGUUUACCCAGAGAGUUUGGGAAAGUAUAAAUAAGAAAUUAGAGAGGGAAACAGAUAACCAGAAAACAAAGAUUUCAAAAGAAAAGAAUUGCCACUAAUAGUAAUAUGAUAUAUCUGACUGGGAGCAACAUGUACUAUUCAAUAUGGACGGAUUGACAAUUUUGACUGAGAACAAAGUGAACUCUAAUAAUGCUAUGACUAUCAAUCAAUACUUGACUGAAACAGAGGAGUAAACUAUUUACAUAUUUGUAAAUAUAACAGUUAUAUGUUUGCUUGAUUAUUGAGGCAUUCAAAAUAAAGGAAGUUGAAAAACCUUUGAAAAAGUUAUAAUUUCAGAA